rnacentral:tRNA from 1 species
GGCGCCGUACCCAAGUGGCUAAGGGAAGGGACUGCAAAUCCCUCAUUCAACAGUUCGAAUCUGUUCGGCGCCUCCA